CCUGAAAGUGAGCAAUCUUCUGAAUAUGACUCAGAUUUUGAUUAUUUCUUAGAUGGGGACACAUUAAGUGAUAACUGUGAUAUUGGUGAUGAUACUACUGAGGUAACUAGUGGGCUGGAUAGCAAUAUUAACUUAGGACAGUACCAACAAUAUGCUGAAUUAAUUAGUGGUGAUUAUAGAGCCUUUGUUGAGGCUAGGAAAGAGGGUAAGUUUGUUGAGCAUGAAAAUAUUGUUGAUGCUGAAGUACUUGAAACUGCCAUUCAAUCCUCUGAUGAUGAAAA
rnacentral:lncRNA from 1 species